UACAGAGGGGGCGAGCGUUGUUCGGAAUUACAGGGCGUAAAGCGCGCGCAGGCGGUCCUUUAAGUCUGAUGUGAAAGCCCUCGGCUCAACCGAGGAGGGUCAUUGGAAACUGGAGGACUUGAGUGCAGAAGAGGAAAGUGGAAUUCCAAGUGUAGCGGUGAAAUGCGUAGAGAUUUGGAGGAACACCAGUGGCGAAGGCGACUUUCUGGUCUGUAACUGACGCUGAGGCGCGAAAGCGUGGGGAGCAAACAGG
rnacentral:rRNA from 1 species